rnacentral:lncRNA from 1 species
UUUUUAAUUGAGCUUUGAGCGUUUAACUUAAAAAAUAUAAUUUAACUGAUACAACCCAUUCAGAAAAGAAAAUUAUAAAUCCAAUUAACUUUUGUUACAGAAAAAAAAAUUAACCAAAUUAACUUUAGACCAUUUUUUUUACAAAAUCCCAAAUUAUGAAGACCAUUUUAUACAUAAAUACAUAUAAAUGUAACAUUAUUUAAAUUGUAUGGAUUUCUAAUAAUAAAAUAUCUGUCACAAAUUGAUUCUUUUAAAAAAAAAAAAUUGAUAAUAGUUUGAUAGAAAAUUAAAAAAGGAAAAAAAAUAAUACUUGCUUCACUAUUUUGGUACACUGAUAAUUAAUAUAUUUAUAAAUAAACUUAACAAUAUUUGUUAAAAGAAAUUUCUUAUACAAGUCAAAUAUAUAUUAAUAUAUCAAAAAUUUAUAAAACAAAAAACAAAUUAUAUUUUUCUCAAUGGGUUAAUAACGGUCUCUUUGAUUUUCAAAUACUUUUAAUGUAUUCAUUUUAUUAUAUUCUAUCCCACUAUAUAUGAGUUACUAGAUCUUACGGUUCGACCACAAGUCUGAUUCGGAUAUGAAAACUCAAUGAAAACAUUGUACCGGACUGAAAUAAUAAUAAUAGAACAUCUUUUAAAUAUUUUAGAUAUCUAAUAAUAAAUAUAAAUUCAUUUAAUAUUUGAGUUUACGGUCACCAAAAAAAUACCCGCGCUUCUUAAGCGCGGGUCAAAAUCUAGUCUAUUCUAUUAAAACAGCAGUGUGACCAAUCGAUAAAAGUAGAAUCCAAUUAAAAAAAACUAAUUUUUAUAUAACUGCAUCUAAUUAUAUCAAAGCACUAACACGUUCUAAUUUUAUCUACCAACGACAGUUAUCACUUUUUCUUCGUAUAAUAAUGAGGUAAACUUGUGAAAUGAAACUGUCCUAAUUAUUCU